rnacentral:rRNA from 1 species
CCCUUAGGUGUUCUGGGCAGCACGCGCGCUACAAUGGUCUUCGCAAACGGAUGCAUUCUCGAAGGAGAAUGCCAAUCUUGGAAUCUAUGCCUUGGUCGGGACAGUUGCUUGCAAUUUUUCGACUCGAACCAGGAAUUCCUUGUAAUCGUGAUUCAUCACAUCACGAUGAAUACGUCCCUGCCCUUUGUACACACCGCCCGUCGCUCCUACCGAUCGAAGAGUUAGGUAAAUUGUUUUGAUCGAUAAGAUUUGACUAUGGUCAACUCUCGUUGUGAAAUUCUGUGAAUCUGACUGUUUAGAGGAAGGAAAAGUCGUAACA